CCCUUAGAUGUUCUGGGCCGCACGCGCGCUACACUGAUAAUGUCAACAAGCUUUACCUUGGCCGAUAGGUCUGGGCAAUCUUCGAACUAUUAUCGUGAUGGGGCUAGAUUAUUGCAACUAUUAAUCUUAAACGAGGAAUUCCUAGUAAGCGCGAGUCAUCAGCUCGUGCUGAUUACGUCCCUGCCCUUUGUACACACCGCCCGUCGCUCCUACCGAUUGAGUGUUCCGGUGAAUAAUUCGGACUGCAGCAGCGUGGGGACUCCUCAUACUGCAGCGGAAAGUUUGGUGAACCUUAACACUUAGAGGAAGGAGAAGUCGUAACA
rnacentral:rRNA from 1 species